AAACUACUUAGUUAAAAUUUUAUUAUAUACAAGCAAAGUGCUCUUGAUUCAUAAUAAUUUCGUAAUGUGAUUUAAUAUUUUUGAUAAGUUAAAUUGAAGUAACUGUUACAUCAAGUCCAUGGUUAUGAGUGAGAUUAAGGAAACUUCAACUGUGUUUAUUCAAGAGACUUUGACUAUUCAGAAUACCAUAGGAUAAAAAUAAUUUUCAAGUAGCAGAUUCAGUUUCAAUUUUUUGUAAUUACAAGAGAAAGGUUCAAUAACAAUAUCUAACUCUAAUGACUAAAGUUUGGUUUUAUAUAUAUAUACAAGUAGAUAUAGGAAGAAUAUAUAUACAAGGUUUAGAAUAUGUUAAACAACUAGAAGUCAGGCGCUUAAGUUUGAAAGGAAUUUUACAAACCUGGGCUGCUGGGGCCUGUGGUUCAAGGUGAAUACUGCGGACAAUAAAAAACUUUUAUUGGGCAUUUUUAAAACAAAAUUGUGUUUAAUUACAGUUUAUUUAUUCAAAUUGUAAUGUUUUGCAAGGUUGUAUUGAAUAGUUUUAAAAAGACAGAUUUUAU
rnacentral:lncRNA from 1 species